rnacentral:lncRNA from 1 species
AAUUAUUUAAUUUUUUAUUUUAACUUUAUAAGGAGCAUUCAAGUACGGUUGGUCUCUUCAAGGAUACACACAUAAAGAAGGAUGGUCAAGAACUUAUUAAUAAAAUUACUCAAUCAAAAUUUAUAAAUAUAAGUAAACUUUUUUUAUAUUUUUAUUUAUGAAAAACUUAUCUUGAGGUCUAAAUUAUUUUUGAAAACUUCAUAUGAUGAAAUGAUUGAAUUAAGAUAGCAAUAUUUAGAGGAAGGUAUACAUCAAAUGUCAGAAAAUCAAAUUUUGAUUAAUAUACUUUACAAGAA